rnacentral:rRNA from 1 species
ACUGAACGCUGGCGGCAUGGCUAAAACAUGCAAGUCGAACGUAACCCGCAAGGGUGAAGUGGCGAAAGGGUCAGUAAUACGAUCGAACGUACCCUGAGGUGGGGGAUAGGGCGGGGAAACCCUCCAUAACACCCCAUGAUCUCCAAGGAGCAAAGCUUUCGCGCCUUGGGAGCAGCGAUCGUCCUAUCAGGUAGUUGGCGGGGUAAUGGCCCACCAAGCCGAAGACGGGUAGCGGGUGUGAGAGCACGGCCCGCGACAUCGGAACUGAGACACUGUCCGGACUCCUACGGGAGGCUGCAGUAACGAAUCUUCCGCAAUGGGCGCAAGCCUGACGGAGCAAUGCCGCGUGUGGGAUGAAGUACCUCUGGUAUGUAAACCACUGUCAGGAGGUAGAAACAAUGAUCGCCUCCAGAGGAAGUGGCGACUAACUCUGUG